rnacentral:rRNA from 1 species
GACGAACGCUGGCGGCGUGCUUAACACAUGCAAGUCGAACGAUGAAACCUAGCUUGCUAGGUCGAUUAGUGGCGAACGGGUGAGUAACACGUGACUAACCUGCCCCUUUCUCUGGGAUAACGCUCCGAAAGGAGUGCUAAUACCGGAUACUCACACCGAGGCACAUGCCUUGGUGUGGAAAGUUUUUCGGAAAGGGAUGGAGUCGGGGCCUAUCAGCUGGUUGGUGAGGUAACGGCUCACCAAGGGGACGACGGGUAGCCGGCCUGAGAGGGCGACCGGCCACACUGGGACUGAGACACGGCCCAAACUCCUACGGGAGGCAGCAGUAGGGAAUCUUCCGCAAUGGACGAAAGUCUGACGGAGCAACGCCGCGUGAGUGAUGAAGGCUUUCGGGUCGUAAAACUCUGUUGUUAGGGAAGAACAAGUGCUAGUUGAAUAAGCUGGCACCUUGACGGUACCUAACCAGAAAGUCACGGCUAACUACGUGCCAGCCGCCGCCGUAA